ensembl:lncRNA
GCGCACCGUGCCUUGAGCAGCUCUCUCCGCUGGCUGUGCUGUCUGUCUGCGAAUGGUCCCAGCUCCCUCCAAACGGGACCCUGGGCAGCCCUCGGCACCUUCAUGAGAUGCUGGCUCCCUGUCCGCACCUUUCCUCCGUCUUCCCAGAGGCCCCAGUGCUGCAGCCCAGCCUCCCGAGACGCCUGGUGGGAGAGUCCCGGGUCAGCCACUCACGCCGCAGGCUGCGGACGAGACCGCCACAUAGUAUUGACACAGUACUGCCAAGGACGAGCCCAGCCCACACACAGAUGACCGGACUCCAGGUGCAGACAUAGCUGUGCUAACGCGUGGGCGGCGACCCCUCACCCGCUAUUCCGAAACCCAAAGCUGGGGAACCGGGCGGGCAGAGCCAGCUGACCCGCUGCAGGCACACAUUCUCCAUCCCCAGAUCCCCAGCGUGAGCAGCGCAGUUUGAGAUUCAGGCUGUGCCCCCUGCGGUCUCCCUAAAUCCCCCGAACUGGGAUUGUCGACUGGAACAGCAGAGGAUGGCAGGAGGCGCUGUGCUGCGGGCUUUAGCCUACUUUGUCCUCGCCGCCUUGAAAUCCAUACAUCUAUUUACUUGUUUGUUGCUAGGGACGAACCCAGGGCCUUUGCCCUGAACUACAUCUCCACUCCUUUUAAAGUUUAUUUCGAGACAGGGUUUUGUCAAGUCACUGAGUUGCCUACGCUGGGCUUGAUCUUGCAGACCUUCUGCCUCAGCCUCGCAGGGCUGGGAUUAUAGAUGUGCAUCGCUGUGCCUGGCCUUUAUUUAUUUCUGGAGACUGAAGUGUGGUGUGUGCACAGGAAAGCACGCAGGUCCACUGCCCCACUGGAAAAAUUAGGACCUACCUGGUACGCAUCCCCCUCUAACGCGACAGCUGUACCCCAAGGUCCGUUACCCUCCAGAUUCUCAUUUCUGUCACCAAAGAUUCAUUUUGCCUGGUAAAAAAUGCUGCCAGUUACUGGGCAGUGAUCACGUGCCUGUCACACAGGUUGGUUCUCAGCCUGCCUCGGUAGAGCGAGUAUGACCCGUGGUUUGGACAAAGGGGCCCAAACACCUGUAUUCAAGGCUUUGACACUCCAGGGGUUGGGGCUGAACUUGGGGAACAUGGACUGCACCUCCCUUUCCUCUCUCGCCAGUGAUCAUGGACUGGAAUCUCUGAAAUAUGAACCAGAGUAAACCUUUCUGCUUUUUAAAUUGAUAGCUUAGGUGUUUUGUUAUAGCAGUGGAAGGCUAACGCAGGGUUCUUUUUGCGUGGGUGUGGUACUGAGUGCUG